GCUGGGUGUGGUGGCGCGUGCCUGUAAUCCCAGCUACUUGGGAGGCUGAGGCAGGAGAAUCACUUGAACUCGGGAGGCGGAGGUUGCAGUGAGCCAAGAUCGCGCCACUGCACUCCAGCCUGGGUGACAGAGCGAGACUCUGUCUCAA
ensembl:misc_RNA Metazoa_SRP Metazoan signal recognition particle RNA